rnacentral:rRNA from 1 species
UACAGAGGGUGCAAGCGUUAAUCGGAAUUACUGGGCGUAAAGCGCACGUAGGUGGCUUGAUAAGUUGGGUGUGAAAUCCCCGGGCUUAACCUGGGAAUUGCAUUCAAGACUGUCUUGCUAGAGUGUGGAAGAGGGAAGCGGAAUUCCAGGUGUAGCGGUGAAAUGCGUAGAUAUCUGGAGGAACAUCAGUGGCGAAGGCGGCUUCCUGGUCCAACACUGACACUGAGGUGCGAAAGCGUGGGGAGCGAACGGG